rnacentral:rRNA from 1 species
AACCUGGUUGAUCCUGCCAGUAGUCAUAUGCUUGUCUCAAAGACUAAGCCAUGCACGUCUAAGUACAAACUAAAUGAUGGUGAAACUGCAAAUGGCUCAUUACAACGGUUAUGAUGUACCCGGGAGUUCCGAUGGAUAUUUCCAGUAACACUAGAACUAAUACAUGCUCCUGCGUUUAUUAGUUUCGCACAGUCCGUCGCUGAGUCAUGGUAAACAGUUGAUCGACUCGACGUCCCGGAACAGUUUCCGCCCCAUCAGCUUCGAUGGUUGGGUAUUAGCCUACCAUUGCAACAACGGGUAACGAGGAAUUAGGGUUUGAUUUCGGAGAGGGAGCCUGAGAAACGGCUACCACAUCUACGGAUGGCAGCAGGCGCGCAAAUUACCCAAUGCAGACACUGUGAGGUAGUGACGAGAAAUAAUAAAGCGGGACUUCUGUUUCGCUAUUAUAAUGAGGAAUAACCAAAGGUCAUUCCGAUUACCAACUGAUGGGAAAGUCUGGUGCCA